rnacentral:rRNA from 1 species
AUACGUAGGGGGCAAGCGUUGUCCGGAUUCAUUGGGCGUAAAGAGCGUGUAGGCGGCCAGGUAGGUCCGUUGUGAAAACUCGAGGCUCAACCUCGAGACGUCGAUGGAAACCAUCUGGCUAGAGUCCGGAAGAGGAGAGUGGAAUUCCUGGUGUAGCGGUGAAAUGCGCAGAUAUCAGGAAGAACACCUAUGGCGAAGGCAGCUCUCUGGGACGGUACUGACGCUGAGACGCGAAAGCGUGGGGAGCGAACAGGA